CAGACUAACAUUCAUAUCUGCAAGCUUCAUGGACGGCUAGCAACUGCAGCAAAGAGCAACCGAAAACUUCCACCAUUUCCUCUACAAACUCCACCAAAUUCAACCAAAACUUCACACACACUUAGCUCUUCACUUGGACAAUCACUUGGACAAAGAAGGAGCUGCACAUUCACGAUUUUUCUUGGGGCUUUUGGACACCAAAAUCUGACCUUUUAGCACACAAGUAAGGCACGCACGAGGACCUCCAAGAGGACCCUACCGUGGAAGUUUGAACUCUCAAUCCAACCUACUUGCUUGCAUAUCUUGGUUUGAACUCGGAGGUGAAAUGGAGAAACCCUCC